UUUUGGUGCGAAAGCUUAAUAGGGAAUCAGGUGAAAGACCUGAACAGUCCCGCUGCUGUAAGUCGCAUUAUUGACACAAGCCCACAGUCACUGAGUAAUCGGGAAGACAUUUGUUGUCAGGCGACAAGUCAGAAGACCUGCCAAAGCGUAU
rnacentral:ncRNA from 1 species